rnacentral:rRNA from 1 species
UACAGGGGGUGCAAACGUUGCUCGGAAUCAUUGGGCGUAAAGCGCACGUAGGCGGUUCGUUAUGUCGGAUGUGAAAGCCCUUGGCUUAACCGAGGAAGUGCAUCCGAAACUGGCGAGCUAGAGUACUAAAGAGGAUCGCGGAAUUCCCGGUGUAGAGGUGAAAUUCGUAGAUAUUCGGAGGAACACCAGUGGCGAAGGCGGCUCACUGGUCCGGUACUGACGCUGAGGUGCGAAAACGUGGGGAGCAAACAGG